AUGGUCAGUUGGUAGUUUCUAGAGAACAGAAUGUCAGUUUUCUUUAAAACUGUGGUUGCUGGUUGGUCUAAUACACUCCAGGAGACCACUGUACAUCCGGAAGAAUAUGGAUAGUACAAAUCUAAGUUAACAUUUACAAAGAAGUUAGAGAGGAACUUUGACAGAAGGGUAGCCUGUUCUAUAUCAAGACCACCACCCACACUUCACCCCUGGCAAUGUCUGGUGCACAGGGAUUAAGCAGAUGGAAUAUGUUGUGGAAGUGACCUUCUUUUUGACCUGAAAGCAUUCUUCAUUCUCUUGGGAUCAAGGGUACUGCGGCAGCCAUGUAUAGCCUUGAAGACAUCCUCUACCCUUUUAAAUGUAGCAAAGAAAGAUAAAAGAAAUGCUGUGAUGUUUUGUAACUUGUAUAUAGUACCUUUAUGUUCUGUUUCAUAACUAAUUGUCUUCAACUUGUGAUAAUUCCAAUUCUUUUUUUUA